rnacentral:rRNA from 1 species
AUACGAAGGGGGCUAGCGUUGUUCGGAAUUACUGGGCGUAAAGCGUGCGCAGGCGGUUUUUAAGCCAGAGGUGAAAUCCCGGAGCUCAACUUCGGAAUUGCCUUUGGGACUGGAAGGCUUGAGAACGGUAGAGGUGAGUGGAAUUCCCAGUGUAGAGGUGAAAUUCGUAGAUAUUGGGAAGAACACCGGUGGCGAAGGCGGCUCACUGGACCGUUUCUGACGCUCAGGCACGAAAGCGUGGGGAGC